rnacentral:rRNA from 1 species
CCGAAAGGCGUAGUCGAUGGGAAUCAGGUUAAUAUUCCUGAACCUUCUUGCUGUGACGAAUCCCGUGUAUUGUCAAGCCUUAUUGGAUUGGUUUGGCAGUGAAGGGGUUCCAGGAAAUAGCACAAGAAUUAAGACCGUACCCCAAACCGACACUGGUGGACAGGUAGAGUAUACCAAGGCGAUUGAGAAAAUGAUGUUGAAGGAACUCGGCAAAAUGCCCCUGUAACUUCGGGAGAAAGGGGACCUCCAUUUGGGCAACCAGGUGGAGGUGGCACAGACCAGGGGGUGACGACUGUUUACCAAAAACACAGGACUCUGCUAAGUCGCAAGACGAAGUAUAGGGUCUGACGCCUGCCCGG